rnacentral:rRNA from 1 species
UACGGAGGUGCGAGCGUUGUCCGGAAUCACUGGGCGUAAAGGGCGCGUAGGCGGCGCGGAUAGUCGGCGGUGAAAGCCCGGAGCUCAACUCCGGGUCGGCCGUCGAUACUUCCGGGCUCGAGCACUGUAGAGGCAGAUGGAAUUCCGGGUGUAGCGGAUGGAAUGCGUAGAGAUCCGGAAGAACACCGGUGGCGAAGGCGGCCUGCUGGGCGAGUAGCUGACGCUGAUGCGCGACGAGCGUGGGGAGCAACAGG